rnacentral:snRNA from 1 species
GGAUGUGAGGGCGAUCUGGCUGCGACAUCUGUCACCCCGUUGAUCGCCAGGGUUGAUUCGGCUGAUCUGGCUGGCUAGGCGGGUGUCCCCUUCCUCCCUCAACGAUCCAUGUGCGUCCCUCCCGAAGCUGCGCGCUCGGUCGAAGAGGAUGACCACCCCCGAUAAAGGAGGACCGUUCCUCGGUCAAGGGUAUACGAGUAGCUGCGCUCCCCUGCUAGAACCUCCAAACAAGCUCUCAAGAGGUAUCCAAGAUAAGAUGCGGUACGCAAGGCACCAUGCCUCU